CUGCUUCCUCCUGCAUGCAUUGAUCCUGCCUCAGCCUCACCACUGAGCGCCACAUCACUACCUGUCUCAGUAUGGAGGAACAAAUCUUCCGUAAUUCGAAAAAUUAGUAAAUAAAUAAAUGCACACAUAAAUAGAUAAAUAAUGAAUAAAAUUGGAGAUAACAUUGAUUAUAUGCUGCUGUGCCGCACACGCCCAAUAAAAGCACACACAAAAAACAUUGUCAUUGCCUAGUUUUGGAACACUGAGCCAGCCAUUGACUGCACCAGGUGGCUGUGUUAUGAGUGGGUCGCAUUCGACAAUAAGGCAGCGGACUACCGCCAUAUAGUUUUGAAAUUAGAAGACCAAGAGACGGGAGUAGGUAGGCAAGAAGGAGUCGACCGGGAUUGACCAGAAAAUCAUGGUAAACUAACGUUAAUGAGCAGGACAUUUCUCUACGUCCAAGUUGAGGCUUGCUACCGGCAGGAGCAUGAAGCACUCCAACAGCGAUACCGAGACAGAAUGGUCCUCCUGACUAACUACCUGCGAUCUCUAGAGCAGAGAAGUGUGUCUGCUGAGCUAUGAAACUUUUUAGAUCAGCACAUCAGAGAACCUGCCACUCUGUUGUCAUCUAUCUGCAGACAGUUCCCUGAGGAAGAAUGCAACUAUCAAGGCUUUCAAAAGCCACAUUUUGGGGAUGACCAAAUGCAAUACAUUUUUGUAUAAGCAACUCAUGUGUAGGKUGCCGUCUUUCGGAUGGGACGUUAAAAGGGUGUCAUUAAUUAAGGUCAUUAAAGAUCYCAUGGCACUUAUUGUUAGAGUAGGGGUGUUAACCCCGGUGUCCUGGCUAAAUUCCCAAGCUGUCCCUCAUACCAUCACGGUCACCUAAUC